GUCUCCUUCUUGCAUUGAUACAUUCUUUACUCACAGCUUCUGCGUGAUUAACCCACUUCUCCCACUCUGCAUCAUUCGAUCGACCUCAUCGCAUCCCCAAAAUAACCGUCCAAAAAUCUGAUUAUAUAUAUCCCCUCUUCCAGCGAUGAACAGCAUAACUUUGAUGAGAUAAAAAACCUUACUCUUUUCUACGAACCAUGGCGAAUUCCUUCGUCCUCCUAGCUGAUUUGAAAGCUGGGCGCUUGGAUCCUCUGCAAUGAGAUAUUGUGAAUUCCUAAGCGUUGUACACCGUCACUUAUGGUUGCUGCAGGUCGUUCCAGUGUUCAAGGUCCUGAAAGUUUCUGUCUUAUGGCUGUGGAACCAUUUCGUAAUGUGGCUCUUGAAGAAGAUGGGAGGCUCUUUGCAGAACCCCUCAUCCUGUCCCAGUCCAAGGCUUUGAUGAUCUCUCACUUUGGUGGAUGGUUGGGGGAAGAGGAGAACGAGGAAGAGUUUAGGUGACAGUGACAAGAUCAGCAAAAUAUUCCACAGAAAGUUAAUCUUCUCCAUGACAAAGAUAUCCUUGAGGUUGUAAAGCCUUAAACUUUAAUUAUUUUGAGAACUCUAAAAGAGGAUCUCAUUUAUUAUUAUUUUUUUAACCGGCCAGAACAUCUCAUUUAUGUAAAGAAGCAUUAAAAUUUAAAGAUCAUUAACCUUUUACAAAUACGUUGGAUAUUGGAGAAUAUUGACCAUAGAU